rnacentral:rRNA from 1 species
UCAGGCCUAACACAUGCAAGUCGAACGAAGUAGCAAUACUUAGUGGCAGACGGGUGAGUAACAUGUGGGUAUCUACCCUUUGGCCUGGAAUAACACGAGGAAACUUGUGCUAAUACCGGAUAAGUCUUUACGGAGAAAGCUUUAUGCACCAUUGGAUGAGCCUGCACUUGAUUAGUUUGUUGGUGGGGUAAUGGCCUACCAAGACUGUGAUCAAUAGCUGAUUUGAGAGGAUGAUCAGCCACAUUGGGACUGAGACACGGCCCAAACUCCUACGGGAGGCAGCAGUGGGGAAUCUUGCACAAUGGAGGAAACUCUGAUGCAGCGAUGCCGCGUGAGUGAAGAAGGCCCUUGGGUUGUAAAGCUCUUUCGUCGGGGAAGAAAAUGACUGUACCCGAAUAAGAAGGUCCGGCUAACUUCGUGCCAGCAGCCGCGGUAAUACGAAGGGACCUAGCGUAGUUCGGAAUUACUGGGCUUAAAGAGUUCGUAGGUGGUUGAAAAAGUUAGUGGUGAAAUCCCAGAGCUUAACUCUGGAACUGCCAUUAAAACCUUUCAGCUAGAGUAUGAUAGAGGAAAGCAGAAUUUCUAGUGUAGAGGUGAAAUUCGUAGAUAUUAGAAAGAAUACCAAUUGCGAAGGCAGCUUUCUGGAUCAUUACUGACACUGAGGAACGAAAGCAUGGGUAGCGAAGAGGAUUAGAUACCC